UACGAACUGUGCGAACGUUAUUCGGAAUCACUGGGCUUACAGGGUGCGUAGGCGGCCGAACAAGUCAGGUGUGAAAGCCCAGGGCUCAACCCUGGAAGUGCACUUGAAACUCACGAACUUGAGUCCCGGAGAGGAAGGCGGAAUUCUCGGUGUAGAGGUGAAAUUCGUAGAUAUCGAGAGGAACAUCGGUGGCGAAGGCGGCCUUCUGGACGGUGACUGACGCUGAGGCACGAAAGCGUGGGGAGCAAACAGG
rnacentral:rRNA from 1 species